rnacentral:rRNA from 1 species
GAUGAACGCUAGCGGGAGGCUUAAUACAUGCAAGUCGAGGGGUAACGAUGGAGCUUGCUCCAGGCGACGACCGGCGCACGGGUGAGUAACGCGUACACAACCUACCUUUAAGAGGGGGAUAGCCUCGGGAAACUGAGAUUAAUACCCCAUGUGAUUGUUAUUAAUAUUUUUUGACAAUUAAAGAUCCGUCGCUUAAAGAUGGGUGUGCGUAUGAUUAGAUAGUUGGUGAGGUAACGGCUCACCAAGUCUACGAUCAUUAGGGGGCGUGAGAGCGUGGCCCCCCACACGGGUACUGAGACACGGACCCGACUCCUACGGGAGGCAGCAGUAAGGAAUAUUGGACAAUGGGGGCAACCCUGAUCCAGCUAUCCCGCGUGCAGGAUGACUGCCCUCUGGGUUGUAAACUGCUUUUGGAAGGGAAGAACCGCCGUCAUUUAUGAUGGUUUGACGGUACCUUCAGAAUAAGCACCGGCUAACUCCG